CCUACGGGAGGCAGCAGUGGGGAAUAUUGCGCAAUGGGCGAAAGCCUGACGCAGCGACGCCGCGUGAGGGAUGAAGGUCUUCGGAUCGUAAACCUCUGUCAGCAGGGAAGAACGGUCACUGUGCUAAUCAGCAGUGAAUUGACGGUACCUGCAAAGGAAGCACCGGCUAACUCCGUGCCAGCCGCCGCGGUAAUACGGAGGGUGCGAGCGUUAAUCGGAAUUACUGGGCGUAAAGCGCUCGUAGGCGGUAUGUCAAGUCAAGGGUGAAAUCCCCGCGCUCAACGUGGGAACUGCCUUUGAAACUGGCAAACUGGAGUGUGUGAGAGGAACGUGGAAUUCCAGGUGUAGGAGUGAAAUCCGUAGAUAUCUGGAGGAACACCAGUGGCGAAGGCGACGAUCUGGCACAUAACUGACGCUGAGGAGCGAAAGCGUGGGUAGCAAACAGGAUUAGAUACCCUAGUAGUC
rnacentral:rRNA from 1 species